rnacentral:rRNA from 1 species
AGUCAUAUGCUUGUCUCAAAGAUUAAGCCAUGCAUGUCUAAGUAUAAGCAAUCAUACUGUGAAACUGCGAAUGGCUCAUUAAAUCAGUUAUCGUUUAUUUGAUAGUACCUUUACCUGGAUAACCGUGGUAAUUCUAGAGCUAAUACAUGCUAAAAACCCCGACUUCGGAAGGGGUGUAUUUAUUAGAUUAAAAACCAAUGCCCUCUGGGCUCUUUGGUGAUUCAUGAUAACUUCUCGAAUCGCACGGCCUUGCGCCGGCGAUGGUUCAUUCAAAUUUCUUCCCUAUCAACUUUCGAUGUUUGGGUAUUGGCCAAACAUGGUUGCAACGGGUAACGGAGGG